GAGUUUGAUCAUGGCUCAGAUUGAACGCUGGCGGCAUGCCUAACACAUGCAAGUCGAACGGCAGCACAGCCCGCAAGGGUGGGUGGCGAGUGGCGGACGGGUGAGGAAUGCGUCGGAAUCUGCCCAGUCGUGGGGGAUAACUAGCCGAAAGGUUAGCUAAUACCGCAUGCGACCGAGAGGUGAAAGCGGGGGACCGCAAGGCCUCGCGCGAUUGGAUGAGCCGACGCCGGAUUAGCUUGUUGGUGGGGUAAAGGCCUACCAAGGCGACGAUCCGUAGCUGGUCUGAGAGGAUGAUCAGCCACACUGGAACUGAGACACGGUCCAGACUCCUACGGGAGGCAGCAGUGGGGAAUAUUGGACAAUGGGCGCAAGCCUGAUCCAGCAAUGCCGCGUGUGUGAAGAAGGCCUUCGGGUUGU
rnacentral:rRNA from 1 species